AAUUUUCAGGUGUAGCAAAAUAGAAGAUGAAGGUCUAGCUGUGCCAGUCAGUGCUGCCACACAGUUGCUGCUGGCAUGUUUGCAAAAUAGCACAAGGUGUAGCAAAAUAGAAGAUGAAGGUCUAGCUGUGCCAGUCAGUGCUGAGCCACACAGUUGCUGCUGGCAUGUUUGCAAAAUAGCACAAGGUGUAGCAAAAUAGAAGAUGAAGGUCUAGCUGUGCCAGUCAGUGCUGCCACACAGUUGCUGCUGGCAUGUUUGCAAAAUAGCACAAGGUGCUGUAAAAUGAAGAUAUAUUGUUAAAUAUCAUGAGAUAGAAAUAAAAGAUGAAGAUCUAGCUGUACCCGUCCCGAGCCACACUACUGCAGCCACGUUGCUGCUGGCAUUUUUGCAAAAUAGCACAAGGUCACAACAAUUGAUGUAACAAAUAUAAUCAAUGGACCAGGCACCUGCACCAUGAUUCUUUGGAAUACUAAAAUUCGUCUCUUUAUGUCUGUACUUCUCAUAAUGAAAAAUGUCACGUUUUUAUGAAAGAAAUAAUGGAAUCAAAUAAUAAAUAAAACAAGCAUAUGCUGGAAGUCCUCAGAAACAGCUCCGACUUUGAUGAUUUUUUUUAAAGUCAUGUUUUUUAUGUUAUUUAAAAUCAGAAAUGUUUUGGUGGACGAAAUUAUUUAAAUUGUUAAAAAAUAUCUAUGCUAUUUAUACAAUUUUUUUUUAAAUACAACCGACUUCAAAAAUACAAACUUAUGCAGAAAACUAACAAACGAAAGAAAAUAUUAUAAUAUUUUCUAUCUAUUGAUCACUUUGAAGGAGGUGCCAAUGUUCCAAUUAAUGGGCCGACAAUUAGUUAUCUAUUGUUUACUAGCUAUAGGGCUCGAAUUGCUUUUUCAUAUCUUUAAAAGACUAUCUUCGGAAUGAACCCUUUAUAAUAAAAAAGUAUUAUCAAAAUCGGACCACUCAAUAAAAAGUUAUACUUGGUUGUAUACUAAAAUUAAUGGUUAAACAAUCAAUCAUCCCCUGUUUUCGUAAUGUAAAACCAAGAAUAACUGUUAACAUGAGUAGUCCGAUUUUGAUAAUUCUUUUGAUUGAUCAUUCUUGAUUGUUUUAGUUUAAAACCAAGCAUGUCUUCGAAUUCCGAUUUGAAUAACUUUGUUUUAAAUAGAAAGGUUAUAUUCCGACAAUGGUCCCAAAUCAUUAUAAAUUUUAAAAAAACGAAGAUGACUGGUUAUUUUCCCAUUAAUUGUAUUGUAAAACUAUGCGUAACUUAUUACGAAGUGGUCCGAUUUCGUAAAUUCUUUAUAGAUUUUAAAGGUAUUUUGAUUGUAAAGCUCCCAUAUAAAUUUUAAAAAACAAUUCCAAUCCUGAAUGUGCGAUUGAUUGUUUUCUCAUUCAUUUUAAUGUAAAACCAAGCAUAACUUUUUAUUGGGUGGUUCUAUUUUGAUUAUUCUUUUUUUGAUAGAAAGGGUAUAUUCCUAAAAGUCUCAUAAAAUGUUGGAAAACAAUUUCAAACCUAAUAGUAGAAAAAUAGAAGAUGAUUAUUGUAAUGUUAAAGUAUGCGUAACUUUUUACUGAGUGGACCGAUUUUGAAAAUUCUUUACUUUUUGUAAAGGGUUUAUUUCGAAGUAGGUCCCAUAUAAAUUUCGGAAAACAAUUCGAAUCCUUAAGGUGGAAAAAAACUGUACGAUUGAUUGCCUACCCAUUAAUUGUACAAUUGGCACUGGCUUCAAAGUAAUCAGUAGAUAUAAAAUAUUAUAAUGUUUUCUUCAGCUUAUUAGUUUACUGCAUAACUUUGUGUUUUUGAAGUCGGUAGUGUUUGUUUUUUAAUUAUUUAUUUUAUAAAUAGCAUAACUAUUGUUAAAUAGUAUAAAUCGUUCCAUCCUCACUCCAAAAGGUUUCUGAUUUCAAAUAAUAUGAAGAAACAAACUGAACAAAAAAAAUCAUCAAAAUCAGAGCUGUUUCUGAGGAAGUAGAGGGUAAAUGCUCUAUUGAUUCGCCUAAAAGUAAUAUUAUGUUUUUUUAUCGCAUUAGGUUGUAAAGUUCGGCUAGUGAAAGUAGAGACUGAAAUUGCCCGCCAAAUUUAAAAAUCAUAUAAACAAAGUAAAAAAACAUGCGUUUUCAUAAUUUACUUAAAUUAGUUUUUAUUUGUGAAUACAUUAUUACCUAUACUAUAAGUGUUAAACUCAGUUAUUCCAAUAUUUGCACUAUAAUUUUGAGAAUUUACUCCGAUUUUUUAAAAUUUGGCGGGUGAUUUCAGUUUCUACUUUCAUUAGCCAAAUUCUAAUAAUUUUAUUGUUUAUGAAAUUUAUACUAAUUAGAAAGAGGAAGAAUUUGAUUAUUUGUUUGUUUGCAUUGAAUAGGCUCUGAAACUACUUUGCUGAUUUAAAAAUUUCUUACAGCAUUAUAAUCAUGGAUUAGGCCAUAAUUGUUAUCUCUGUAUUCCCACGGGAACGAGAACUACGCUGGUGAAACUGCGUGACGUUUGCAUAGUUUAUCAUAUGUACAAAUAUCCGGACAAUCUAUAUUUUUAUGUAUGAAUUGGUUAAGUUAUAAUUGACUUGAUUUUCCCAAAUAUAUCAGUGAAGUCACCCAAUUGAUGCAUAGAUAUAUUUUUAUAUUGGUUUUCAUUUUACUUACUUUCUAAAAUUUAGUUAUAGAAGCAAAAUGAAUAUAUGUAGAUUACAUUUUAGGUGCUGAUGUUUACUUAGUUAUUGAUUAAGUGCAUAAGAUUUUUUAUUUGAUAAUAAAGACAUUUC